rnacentral:lncRNA from 1 species
UGCAGUGUGUUCUCCCCAUGGAAUGUGCUCCUGAUAAGAAGUGCCAAGAAAUUAUCAUUAAAAAGGGAUCCAUAGUCUAAGGAUAGGGGAGGGAGUUGCAGAUGUUGGGGUUCGAAUGCCGGUUCUGCUAGAAGUCGCUUUUUAAGGUUAGUUGUGUGAACCAACUGAGCUAAAUACCAGGUUCAUAUUACUGAUGGUUUGUUUAUUCCUCUAUUUGCCAAUGAAGUGGGAAAAAAAAAGUGAUUAGUAGUAUUCAUUCUGUUCCACUCCCACCCUAUAGCUUUUAAUCAUACCUUGUUCAUGUUAAUUCCACAUGUUUGUAUACACUAACAGGUUAAUAAUAGAUAUAGAUUUUGACUAGUUGAUGUAUCCGUGUUAGUGUUUUACCUAAUAGGGUUGUCAUGUCCAACACAUCCAAGCCUCUUGAUCGGAAAUAAGUGAGAGAAGCUUCCCAGGAGAUGGAUGGUGAAGGGAGAUCAACGGAGUCCUUGGUCGAUGUCAUCCCGUCUCUUCUCCCUGUAUAUACGGGAUAAGACG